rnacentral:lncRNA from 1 species
AACUCUCUUAGUUCAUUUUAUACACAUUUAUUCCAGUUAGUUAGGCUGUACAGUGGCAUUUCCUUCCAUGCCUGUCAAAAGCCUUGAAUCUGUGCACAGAAUAUCCUGAUACAAAGGAAGAGAGGACUCUCCUGCUUUUAAGAGCUUAGCAGAAUAGAGAGUUCUAGUUGCUUAAGUCCACCUCAUGUUUUUCUCUCCAUCUUGCCUGUUAGCCCAAAUUUCUUGGAGGAAGGGUAGGAUGCCACUGAGAUGAUGACGGUGUUGCUUGGAAGAAUGUACCAGGAAGAGGAAGAUAACCAAUGUGAGGAGGAGUAUGGAAGCUGAGCCUUGAGAGGAAUGAAUGAGGGGGUUUCAAAUAUCUAUCCUGGAGGGAAACAGAACUGAGAUAUCUUCAGAUAGCUGAAUGGCUGUCAUACAGAAGGAGCAAGCUUGUUUUCAGUAACUCCAGAUGGCACAGCCUGAAUCAAUGGAUUCAAAGCACAAGGAAAAAAGAAUUGAUUAUACAUUGAGAUUAACACUCUGCGGGUGAAGGCUACUUAGCCGUGGAAUGGGCUGCCUCAGAGUGUGGUGAGCUUGCCUUCAUUUGAAGAUUUUAGAAAGAAGGUGGAUAGCCAUCUGGCAGACAGGUUUUUAAUGUCCUGCUUUAGUAGGGGGUAGGACUUCACUUGAUGACUCUUGGGAUCCCUUCAGAUUCUGCAGUUUUUUGAUUCUAGGAGCACAUAGCAAAGGCUUUCCAAGGUGCUUUCAGUCCAAGCUGUUACUGUGCAAUCACACUUCUCUGUUGGUGGAAGUUCAUGGGAGGUGCAGGAAGACAAAUUACCAUAUCUCUUUGAAGACCCCAGGGAGCAGGUGAUUAACAGAAUCAAAGGAUGUUUCAUCCUCUGGAUUUGGCAGCCCUAGCAGCUAGAGUUAUUCAGAGUGCAUCAAAAAGUAGCACUGAAUAGAAAAAAGGUUACGCAGCAGCACAUACUCCUAGAAACAGAGACACAUUCAGAGGUAAACUGCACUCAAUGAACAGAAACAAGCUGCCAUGUGUAGCAUGCACCUAUCCCCCAUUUUCCCAUCCCAUAUGACUGAGGAAACAGCUUUGCCACAUUUC